GAUGAAGAACGUAGCGAAAUGCGAUAAGUAAUGUGAAUUGCAGAAUUCAGUGAAUCAUCGAAUCUUUGAACGCACAUUGCGCCCGCCAGUAUUCUGGCGGGCAUGCCUGUUCGAGCGUCAUUACAACCCUCAGGCCCCCGGGCCUGGCGUUGGGGAUCGGCGAGGCGCCCCCCGCGGGCACGCGCCGUCCCCCAAAUACAGUGGCGGUCCCGCCGCAGCUUCCAUUGCGUAGUAGCUAACACCUCGCGACUGGAGAGCGGCGCGGCCAUGCCGUAAAACACCCAACUUCUGAAUGUUGACCUCGAAUCAGGUAGGAAUACCCGCUGAACUUAAGCAUAUCAAUAAGCGGAGGA
rnacentral:misc_RNA from 1 species